GCAUGGAAAUCGUAUUAGAAAAUAAUAAGAAGUGUCCAACCAAGUGCACAGGCUUGCUGCUGCGGGCAUGUGGCGCGCACUUGAGGCCUCCUCAUGCGCACGUACAACAAUGGUUGUCUGCACAAGCGCACUCCUACGUGUGUUUUGUUGCACGCAAUAGCUGCUUCCCUGCACCUGCGUGCGACACAUUUCUGCAUGUGCGUGUCUUCCCAAGCUAGGACAUGGGUUGGCCUUUUUCUUUUGGGCGCAAUCUCCUUCGGUCGUGACCCACUUUGGUCGUAUGGCCUU
rnacentral:lncRNA from 1 species